rnacentral:rRNA from 1 species
UACGUAGGGGGCAAGCGUUGUCCGGAAUCAUUGGGCGUAAAGCGCGUGUAGGCGGCUCGGUAAGUCCGCUCUGAAAGUCCAGGGCUCAACCCUGGGAUGCGGGUGGAUACUGCCGGGCUCGGGUCCGGAAGAGGCGAGUGGAAUUCCCGGUGUAGCGGUGAAAUGCGCAGAUAUCGGGAGGAACACCAAUGGCGAAGGCAGCUCGCUGGGACGUGACUGACGCUGAGACGCGAAAGCGUGGGGAGCAAACAGG